UGACAACACAUACUUCCACCCACAGCAAUUCUGUCUUUUCCAGGCGUGCUUGUGGAUUCUGUCAUGUAUGGUCAUUUCUAUCAGUGAUCAGAGUUAGCCACACCCCCUGAUGAAGCACUCUAUAGCAAAACGUACGAUGGGGUACCGUGAUAGAUUUGUUAUGAUCCAUCAUUAUCUGUUCUGCUAUGUUGACCAUCAAAGAUCAACUGGAGCCCGAGAUAUAAGAAAUUACGCAAGUAUGAAGAUCAGAUCCAUAAAAAUCAUAUGGAAACAAGACAGGGAAACAUAUGAUAAAUACAGAAGACAAAUUUGAGGAAUAUGGUAUAUGUGAAGGAGGUUUCAAUAACAUCUUAUUCAUGAAACAGAUGACUUCUUCAGAGAAAAAAUGUUAAAUAAAAGACAAGAAAAUGCUAUGUGUGAACCAUGCACUAGCUAUAAUACAGAGAUCUGCACGGACUGUGAAGCAAGACAAACGAAGAACGAUCUAUUACCAGGACUCUACAAGAAAAGAUGGAUAGGCUACAAUAUCUGCAGUAACAGGGACUAAUUUGCCUGUCUAUAGUAAUGAGGUUAAGUAGUAAAAUAUUGUCCCUAUAUAAAUAGAAGUUGAAAGCACGAAAAGUAAAUAGAUACAAAGUUCAACAAUAAUUAACAGCUACCAUGCUCCAACACACCACACACAAUGCCACUAGCUAAUACAACAUCAGUGCUGCAAGGUAGAAAGCUACAAGAAAAAUGACUGGGAACACACAGCUAUAUGGGAUCGCUAGAAAGUCACCUCCAAAUAUUUCUGUGGAUAAAAUUCUGUAACUGCAGUGAAUAAUUCUGUUGGAGAGUCAAUACUGAGGCCAGAUUCUAUGUGCUGUAUGUCACAUGACUAAUGAUACAUUUCUCUAUUACUAUUAUCUUAAAGGGGUACGCCACCUCUAGACAUCUUAUCCCCGUCCAA